rnacentral:rRNA from 1 species
GAACGCUCCGCAAGGGGAGUGGCAGACGGGUGAGUAACGCGUGGGAACGUACCCCUCGGUUCGGAAUAACUCAGGGAAACUUGAGCUAAUACCGGAUACGGCCGAGAGGCGAAAGAUUUAUCGCCGAGGGAUCGGCCCGCGUCCGAUUAGCUAGUUGGUGAGGUAACGGCUCACCAAGGCGACGAUCGGUAGCUGGUCUGAGAGGAUGAUCAGCCACAUUGGGACUGAGACACGGCCCAAACUCCUACGGGAGGCAGCAGUGGGGAAUAUUGGACAAUGGGCGAAAGCCUGAUCCAGCCAUGCCGCGUGAGUGAUGAAGGCCUUAGGGUUGUAAAGCUCUUUCGUCAGGGACGAUAAUGACGGUACCUGAAGAAGAAGCCCCGGCUAACUUCGUG